AGGCCCGUGACCCGGUCUACACCGGGAUGUUCAUAACCCUUUGUUGUCCGACUCUGUUGCCUCCGGGGCGACCCUGCCUUCGGGCGGGGGCUCCGGGUGGACACUUCAAACUCUUGCGUAACUUUGCAGUCUGAGUAAACUUAAUUAAUAAAUUAAAACUUUUAACAACGGAUCUCUUGGUUCUGGCAUCGAUGAAGAACGCAGCGAAAUGCGAUAAGUAAUGUGAAUUGCAGAAUUCAGUGAAUCAUCGAAUCUUUGAACGCACAUUGCGCCCCCUGGUAUUCCGGGGGGCAUGCCUGUUCGAGCGUCAUUUCACCACUCAAGCCUCGCUUGGUAUUGGGCAACGCGGUCCGCCGCGUGCCUCAAAUCGACCGGCUGGGUCUUCUGUCCCCUAAGCGUUGUGGAAACUAUUCGCUAAAGGGUGCUCGGGAGGCUACGCCGUAAAACAAACCCAUUUCUAAGGUUGACCUCGGAUCAGGUAGGGAUACCCGCUGAACUUAAGCAUAUCAAUAAGACGGGAAGACAGGGU
rnacentral:rRNA from 1 species